rnacentral:rRNA from 1 species
AGUGAACGCUGGCGGUAGGCCUAACACAUGCAAGUCGAACGGCAGCACAGUAAGAGCUUGCUCUUACGGGUGGCGAGUGGCGGACGGGUGAGGAAUACAUCGGAAUCUACUUUUUCGUGGGGGUUAACGUAGGGAAACUUACGCUAAUAUCGCAUAUGACCUUCGGGUGAAAGCAGGGGAUCUUUGGACCUUGCGCGAUUGAAUGAGCCGAUGUCGGAUUAGCUAGUUGGCGGGGUAAAGGCCCACCAAGGCGACGAUCCGUAGCUGGUCUGAGAGGAUGAUCAGCCACACUGGAACUGAGACACGGUCCAGACUCCUACGGGAGGGAGCAGUGGGGAAUAUGGGACAAUGGGCGCGAGCCAGAUCCAGCCAUACCGCGUGGGUGAAGAAGGCCUUCGGGUUGUAAAGCCCUUUUGUUGGGAAAGAAAAGCAGCAGGUUGAUACCCCGCUGUUCUGACGGUACCCAAAGAAUAGGCACCGGCUAACUUCGUG